rfam:Granulicatella elegans ATCC 700633 genomic scaffold supercont2.1, whole genome shotgun sequence.
UCGUUUAUGGUACACUCUUGCCGUAGAAAGUUUUAAAGCGGUGGCAAUCUCUAUAAAGGUAGGUGAUGCUUAUGAGCAUCUAUUCAAAAUCUAUCGAAAGGAGGUUGCACUUUGUCAGUCUAUGAAGCUUUGACAUUGGUGUGUUCUUUCGCGACUUUAUUAGUUGCAUUAGUAUCGCUCAU